GCACAGGAGUUGGGAUAGCUCAGUCAGUAGAGCAUGAGACUCUUAAUCUCAGGGUUGUGGGUUUGAGCCCCAUGUUGGGUG